GCCUGGGUGGCUCAGUUGGUUAAGCGUCCGACUUUGGCUCAGGUCAUGAUCUCACAGUUCGUGGGCUCGAGCCCCGCACCAGGCU
rnacentral:tRNA from 1 species